UGAAUACGAGAUGCUACGGCAUCGAAGCAGUCUAUGUCAUACUUCCAAGAAAAGCUUGCACUGUCAUAAACAAAUAAUGCCUGUACCAUAACCGACACAGGUGGGUAGGUAGAGUAUACUAAGGGGCGCGAGAUAACUCUCUCUAAGGAACUCGGCAAAAUGACUCCGUAACUUCGGGAGAAGGAGUGCCUUAUUUUAUAAGGUUGCAAUAACAAGAUCCAAGCAACUGUUUACCAAAAACACAGGUCUCCGCUAAGUCGUAAGACGAUGUAUGGGGGCUGACGCCUGCCCAGUGCCAGAAGGUUAAGGAAGUUGGUUAGCAUUAGCGAAGCUGAUAACUGAAGCCCUGGUGAACGGCGGCCGUAACUAUAACGGUCCUAAGGUAGCGAAAUUCCUUGUCGGGUAAGUUCCGACCCGCACGAAAGGCGUAAUGAUUUGGAUACUGUCUCGGAGAGGGGCUCGGUGAAAUAGACUUGUCUGUGAAGAUGCGGACUACCUGCACCAGGACAGAAAGACCCUAUGAAGCUUUACUGUAACUCGAGAUUGAAAUUGGACUUUAUUUGCGCAGUAUAGGUGGGAGACGUUGAAAAUAUUCUUGCGGGAAUAUUGGAGUCAUCAGUGAGAUACCACUCUUAUAAUGUUAGAUUUCUAACUUUGUAUCAUUAUCUGGUCAAAGAACAGUCUCAGGCGGGCAGUUUGACUGGGGCGGUCGCCUCCCAAACGGUAACGGAGGCGCACAAAGGUUUCCUCUGAACGUGUAGAAAUCGUAUCUAGAGUGUAAAGGCAUAAGGAAGCUUGACUGUGAGACCUACAAGUCGAGCAGGGACGAAAGUCGGUCUUAGUGAUCUGACGGUGCUGAGUGGAAAGGCCGUCACUCAACGGAUAAAAGUUACUCUAGGAUAACAGGCUGAUCUCCCCCAAGAGUUCACAUCGACGGGGAGGUUUGGCACCUCGAUGUCGGCUCAUCGCAUCCUGGGGCGGUAGUACGUCCCAAGGGUUGGGCUGUUCGCCCAUGAAAGCGGUACGCGAGCUGGGUUCAGAACGUCGUGAGACAGUUCGGUCCAUAUCCGGUGUAGGCGUUAGAAUAUUGAGAGGAGCCUUCUUUAGUACGAGAGGACCGAGAAGGACAUACCUCUGGUGUACCAGUUAUCGUGCCAACGGUAAACGCUGGGUAGCUAUGUAUGGAGAGGAUAACCGCUGAAAGCAUCUAAGUGGGAAGCCCACCUCAAGAUAAGUAUUCUC
rnacentral:rRNA from 1 species